AAGAGAGAGAGUGAGAGAACCGAGAGAGAGCCGAGAGAAAACAAGAGGAGGAGGAGUUCAUUCUUCACCAUUCUUGUUCAUUCACCACCAAGACCAACCUAUUGGAAGGUGGUUCGCACGGCCGCUAAAGUCGGAACGAGAAGCUGCUUAAGGAAAAUUUUAAGCUUUCGAGGUUGAGCGAGGUCGGGAGGCGGAGGAUGUUGAGCAAUGAGCCAAGAAUUGUAAUCAAUAACGUUCUGGUUACUAUUGUGUCUUCAUACAUAGUAGUAGCUAACUCUCAAUUGCUUCCGCUACUCUACGUUUUAAGAAUUUCUUCUAUUUCCUUGGAAUUGUCAAACCAUGUCAUUCACGUUAUGUACCUUCGGGAUUUGAAACUUUGAUUUGAUAAUGAA